UACGAAGGGGGCUAGCGUUGCUCGGAAUCACUGGGCGUAAAGGGUGCGUAGGCGGGUCUUUAAGUCAGGGGUGAAAUCCUGGAGCUCAACUCCAGAACUGCCUUUGAUACUGAAGAUCUUGAGUUCGGGAGAGGUGAGUGGAACUGCGAGUGUAGAGGUGAAAUUCGUAGAUAUUCGCAAGAACACCAGUGGCGAAGGCGGCUCACUGGCCCGGUACUGACGCUCAUGUGCGAAAGCGUGGGGAGCAAACAGG
rnacentral:rRNA from 1 species